UAUUUUUAAUUGUAAAUUUUUUUUAUACCUAAAUACUAUGAACAAUUGUUUAAAACUUAAAGAACUUGGCGGUAUCUUAGACUACUUAGGGGAACCUGUUUUUUAAUCGAUGAUCCUCGUUUUACCUUACCUUUCUUUGUUUUCAGUUUGUAUACCGUCGUCUUCAGUUAACGUCAAAGAUAAAAAUAGUUGUCUAUUUAAAAUUUUGUUUACAAUGUCAGAUCAAGGUGCAGCUUAUAGAUUGGUUAAUAUGGGUUACAAUUAUUAAUUUAUAAUAUGAAUAAUUUUUUGAAAUUAUUAUUUGAAGGAGGACUUAAAAGUAAUUUAAUUUAGAUAUAUUUAAUGAAUAUAGCUCUUUGAUGUGCACA
rnacentral:rRNA from 1 species